GGACCCCUAAACUCCCCUGGAGAAUGUUAUCUGCAGAUAGAAGCAUCUGGAAGUUCCUACUGUCUUUUUACCUUGUUUUUUUCUUGAGUCACCUCACGUCAUUUGGGAAGGAAGGGUCUCAGUCCUGAGGAUUAUAACAAACUGGUCACUUACUGGAAUACUUCCUCUUUCAUUUUCUCAAGAUGAAACCAUUGCUUUACCCAGCACAAGGAUAUCUUUUCUUCUACCAGAGUUUUUCCAGUGCAGCAGUGCUCGCAUCCCUCAGCUGUUUGAUAAAGAGGAUGCAAACCAGAUCUCCACUUGUUCCUGUGAGAUGUGAAAAGGCCCUUUGUCAGCAGUGCAUUGCGGUGGAAAGAGCUUUGUCUUUUGUAAUUUCAGCCUUAUUUUGAAGAUUUGAGGAAAUUAAGCAUCUUGGUUGGACAGAGGGGACAAGGUUGGGCAUGCUGACAUCAAUUGACUGUGAAAAAGGGAGAGGAGGAGCAUGUGGAAGGGAGGCCAGAUCCUGCCAGGUUUUCCUGGGAAAUGAGGCUUUUGCUUCCAAUGAUGCUUCCACAAAAGGAAGGGAGAAGGGAAGAGAGUCACCAUGCUGCAUGUGGAGUCCUGCAGGGCUGUUUCCCAGAUGGGGAGCUGCUGGGUCAACUUGAAGCAACCAACAUGGGCAACGUGCUCCUGUGACAGCGCAGCUGACAGUGGAAGUACUGAAGUACUUGCAGCCUCAUUUUCCUAUGUUGUCAAAUUUCGGGGAAUGGUGAACAAAGGGAUCCUGCACACCUUUUCAGCUUGGCAGCCUUAGCUUUUUUUGUAUGCUCUAAGUCCCACCUAGGGUGUUUUUGUGUCCAUUUGUCAGAUAGCAGGUACUUGCUUGCUGAAAUCCAUUCCUCCUGUUGUAAGGAUGAGUUAUCCUGUACUUUGCCACCUGCGAGGGCUGUGCUUGGCUGGCCAGGCAAGCUUGCUGCAUGCCAAAGCACCGUAUUUCCUGAGUCACCUUUGGGGUCAGCUCUUUACUGCCCUUUGGCAUGAUGCAGUCUUUGGGUUUGCGUUAACUCGAGUCAGGACUGGAAUAGGAGAUGUUACUUCUGCAGAGAACCUGGUUGCGGAAACGAAUUGUGUUAUUUUGGGUUAUACCAAGACGGGUCAAUGGUCUUUCUGUUCUGUCUAUGAUUAACCUGAUGGUGACAGGAGAACAAAAAAUGACAUUAAAAGUGAUUAAAAACCUUGGAAGGAUAUUUUGAAUGCCAGAGGAUGCUCAUCCUCAAAAUAGGGUUGUUUUAAGCUAAUUUGAUGAUGGGUUCAAGCCAGUUUUGCAGAUUCCCAUCUGAGUAAUGGGCAUUUCUGUGGAAUUGAUCAGAAAGAGCUGCAGUUUCUUUUACCAUGAACAAAAAGAACUGUCAGACUGAUGACAAUGUGUAACAGCAAUGACUGAGUCUCUUAACCAGAAGUACACAUCCAGUUAAAAAAUAAAAUGAAAUAAAAGAUACCUCACAGGCCUCUGAAUCAGUGCUGAAAAUCACUCUGGAGCCUUACUUGCAGUGGGUAAAUAAAGACAUUGAGAGAAGUAAUGGGAGUGCAGCAUUGCAGUAG